GAUGAACGCUGGCGGCGUGCCUAAUACAUGCAAGUCGAGCGAACAGACGAGAAGCUUGCUUCUCUGAUGUUAGCGGCGGACGGGUGAGUAACACGUGGAUAACCUACCUAUAAGACUGGGAUAACUUCGGGAAACCGGAGCUAAUACCGGAUAAUAUUUUGAACCGCAUGGUUCAAAAGUGAAAGACGGUCUUGCUGUCACUUAUAGAUGGAUCCGCGCUGCAUUAGCUAGUUGGUAAGGUAACGGCUUACCAAGGCAACGAUGCAUAGCCGACCUGAGAGGGUGAUCGGCCACACUAGAACUGAGACACGGUCCAGACUCCUACGGGAGGCAGCAGUAGGGAAUCUUCCGCAAUGGGCGAAAGCCUGACGGAGCAACGCCGCGUGAGUGAUGAAGGUCUUCGGAUCGUAAAACUCUGUUAUUAGGGAAGAACAUAUGUGUAAGUAACUGUGCACAUCUUGACGGUACCUAAUCAGAAAGCCACGGCUAACUACGUG
rnacentral:rRNA from 1 species